rnacentral:lncRNA from 1 species
GCAUGAUGAGAAGAAGAUACACUUCUAUGAUAAAAUGAAGGAUUGAGCAUUCUGAUUCCAGGGUAAGAAGCCAUUAUUCCUCCCGCCUUUCACUGGAAAGAUGCAGUCAGUCAGUCAACAUCCACAAGAACCCUGCUACAGUCUUUGGGAUGGCUCAAGUGACCAGAGGGCUCUGGAAAGUCAUCUCUGUGCCACAAACUGGGCCAGGUUUCACUCAAUUCAAAGGUUCUGAAUCUAGACCCAGUGAAGGACUUAACAGUGUGUGGAGGUGGCCUGUGGACCAGCCAAACAAAGUGCCAAGAUCGUACCACAAGAUAAGCUGCCCUCCCUCUGUUAGGGAGGAAGCUCAACAUAUUCCAAACACUUAGGCACUCCUCUGCCCCAAGACAGAGACAAGAUCUGUUUCAUCUGUUCUGGAAAAGUUGACCAUAUAUGUGUUCUCAACACAGAAUAAGGUAAAGAUUGGUAUAGAAAAAAGGGUUUCGCAUUAUAUUUUAUUUAAAUUGCCUUAGAGAGCAAACACACAUCACUUCAUUCCAAAGUCAUGUAAAUGCUUUUUAGAUUAUCUUAUAUACUACUGAGAGCUGAACUUCAACCAUUGAGAAAUUUAGCAAAACAUG